CAUUAGUUUUUUAAUUGGAGGCUGGAAUGAAGGGUUUAACAUGAGAGUUAGUUUCUUAUUUAAUGAAAAGAAUUUGAAAUUUCUGUGAAGAUGCAGAAGAGGGACUAUAAGACGAGAAGACCCUAUUAAGCUUUACAUAAAUUUUUAUAAAUAAGUAGAGGAAAUGAAAUAUGUUUGGCUGGGGCGGCAGAGGAGUUACUAAUAGCCUCUUAGAAAUGGGGAUUGAUCUUAAAGACGAUUUUGGGACCCACUUUUUGUGGUGUUGGAGUAAGUUACUAUAGGGAUAACAGCGUUAUUAUUUUGGAGAGUUCUUAUUGAUGAAAUAGUUUGCGACCUCGAUGUUGAAUUAAGAUUUCUUUUAGCUGUAGAAGGCUUUGGGAGAGGAUCUGUUCGAUCUUUAAAUUCUUACA
rnacentral:rRNA from 1 species